AUUGAACGCUGGCGGCAUGCUUUACACAUGCAAGUCGAACGAGUGGCGAACGGGCGAGUAAUAUAUCGGAACGUACCGAGUAAUGGGGGAUAACCAAUCUAAAGAUUGGCUAAUACCGACUAUUAUUCUAGCGGCCGAUAACUGAUUAGCUAGUUGGUGGGGUAAAGUCCUACCAAGGCGACGAUCAGUAGCGGGUCUGAGAGGACGAUCCGCCACACUGGGAGUGAGACACGGCCCAGACUCCUACGGGAGGCAGCAGUGGGGAAUUUUGGACAAUGGGGGCAACCCUGACCCAGCCAUGCCGCGUGUAUGAAGAAGGCCUUCGGGUUGUAAAGGACUUUUGUUAGGGAAGCGGUACCUAAAGAAUAAGCACCGGCUGACUACGUGCCAGCAGCCGCGGUAAUAC
rnacentral:rRNA from 1 species